GUUGGCUUGGGUGUUUGUCGUUGCAGAAAUACCCAGCUGUCCCCGUGCUCCCAGCGGUCCUACGGUGACUUGUCCGCAAUAUUACACAGCAGAUAAAACCAUCAGGCUAAGUCAAGAGAAAGAACAGUAGAGGCAGGUGCGUGUGUGUCCGUCUGAGCAUGAGACCUGCUGGGACUCCAUCUUUGUGAACAUUCACCGCUGGGGCUCUCAAGUCUGGUGCUGCCUUUGGCCAAGAGACCUGGUCAACACUGUGCAUCAGCCUGACUGUGAUGGGUCCUGCUCCCUGAUGCCUGCGGCUGUGGGUAGGCCGGACCCUCAGUGCUGGGCCCUCUGGGACUGUGGUCAGUGCUUCGUAUGCAAUGCUCUCCACCAAGCUACAGUAUUCUGAACAUCAUGGCUCACUGCAGUCAACUCACCCUGCAGCAGCACCCCAGACCUUUUUGUUCCUCCUUAUUUAUAACUCAGAGCCUCGCGAUGAACAUUUUCCCUCUGUGACGAUCCACUUUAAUUGUCAACCUGACAUCAUCUAUGAUCACCUGGGAAAAGAGUGAUUAAAUUGGCCGGUGGCUGUGGCUGUGAGAGAUUGUCUUCAUUAAGUUAAUCAAUGUGAGAAGACCCAGCCCACUGUGGGCAGCACCAUUCCCUAGGCAGAACAUCCUGAACUAUCUAAGAAUGGAGAAGCUUUCUAAGAAUGAGCUACUUACAAGCAAGUGAUGUAUGCAUUCGUUUCUUUCUUUCGUUGACUGUGAACAUGAUGUUACUAGACGCUUCCAAUUCCUGCCAUUGUGACUUCCCUGGAACCUGGAACCCUGAGCGAAACAAACCCUUUCUCCUCACAUCGGUUUCAUUGGAGUACUUCAUCAGAGUAACAGAAAUGAAACAG